rnacentral:rRNA from 1 species
AACGUAGGAGACAAACGUUAUCCGGAGUUACUGGGCGUAAAGGGCGUGUAGGUGGUUUCGUAAGUCUGGCGUGAAAUUUUUCGGCUUAACCGGGAAAGGUCGUCGGAUACUGCAGAACUAGAGGACGGUAGAGGCGUGUGGAAUUCCGGGUGUAGUGGUGAAAUGCGUAGAGAUCCGGAGGAACACCAGAGGCGAAGGCGGCCUACUGGGCUGCACCUGACGCUGAGCCGCGAAAGCCAGGGGAGCGAACGGG